rnacentral:rRNA from 1 species
UAUCUCUGUAGAGUCUGCAUAUCAAUAAGCGGAGGAAAAGAAACUAACAAGGAUUCCCCUAGUAACGGCGAGUGAAGCGGGAAGAGCUCAAAUUUGAAAUCUUCAAGGUUUGACCUUGACGAAUUGUAGUUUAAAGAAGUGUUUUCGGUUAGAGGAGUAGUAAAAGUUCUUUGGAAUAGGACAUCAUAGAGGGUGAGAAUCCCGUAUUUGACUAUUCUUUCUAGCUUUGUGAUACACUUUCAAAGAGUCGGAUUGUUUGGGAAUGCAGUCCAAAAUGGGUGGUAAAUUUCAUCUAAAGCUAAAUAUUGGCGAGAGACCGAUAGCGAACAAGUACCGUGAGGGAAAGAUGAAAAGAACUUUGAAAAGGAGAGUUAAACAGUACGUGAAAUUGUCAAAAGGGAAGCGUUUGACACCAGUGUUGUUUUUUCCGAAAAUCAAUUACGAAUGGCUUGAUUUUGUGUUGUAUUGACCUUAUCAGCUUUCUUCACUUUUUCUCGAGUCUUUCUUAAUGCACUUUUCGGUUAACAAGUCAACAUCAAUUUCUUUUGUUGUAGAAGAGUAUUCGGAAGGUGGCUUUCUUUUCGGAGAAAGGUGUUUAUAGCCCUAUACUUCUACAAUCGGAGAGAUUGAGGUCUGCAGCGUAGAUCCUUCGGGGUUAGAUACACUUGUGCUAAGUUGUAGCUUUUCAUAGACAACUUGUUGACUAUGUUUAGUCAUGCGGCUUACUCGCUUGUGCUAUUUUACCUACGCUUAGGAUGUUGAAGACUCUACAGAGAUA